rnacentral:rRNA from 1 species
CGACCUACGGGAGGCAGCAGUGAGGAAUAUUGGUCAAUGGGCGAGAGCCUGAACCAGCCAAGUCGCGUGAGGGAAGACGGUCCGAUGGAUUGUAAACCUCUUUUGCCGGGGAGCAAAAAGCGGUACGUGUACCGCAUCGAGAGUACCCGGAGAAAAAGCAUCGGCUAACUACGUGCCAGCAGCCGCGGUAAUACGUAGGUGGCGAGCGUUAUCCGGAAUGAUUGGGCGUAAAGGGUGCGUAGGCGGCCUGCUAAGUCUGGAGUGAAAGGUACCGGCUCAACCGGUACAGGCUCUGGAAGCUGGCG